rnacentral:rRNA from 1 species
UACAGAGGGUGCAAGCGUUGUUCGGAAUUAUUGGGCGUAAAGGGCGUGUAGGCGGUUUGAUAAGUCUUCUGUGAAAGCUGUGGGCUUAGCCUGCAAAGUGCAGAGGAAACUGUCAGACUUGAGUGUCGGAGAGGAUAGGGGAAUACCCAGUGUAGAGGUGAAAUUCGUAGAGAUUGGGUGGAACACCAGUGGCGAAGGCGCCUGUCUGGCUGACAACUGACGCCGAGACUCGAAAGCAUGGGGAGCAAACAGG